ACGCCCUAAGUAAUGAGUGUUCGCAGAUAUACGGCCGAACGGCUAAGAACGUUAUAUUUGGAGAAGCUAACGCGGAAACACUCCGCCUGAGAAGUACGGCCUUUACUUUUGUAGGGGUUAAAACUCAAAGGAAUUGACGGGGGCUUAAACACGCGGUGGAGCAUGUGGUUUAAUCUGAUGAUACGCGUAGAACCUUACCAGUAAUUGCAUGACCUUUUGAUUAGAAUAACUCGCGAGAGCUUUAAUCGAGAAAGGGUCACAGGUGUUGCAUGGCUGUCGUCAGCUCGUGUCGUGAGACGUGUGGUUAAUUCCUCUAACGAGCGUAACUUUACUGCUAGACAAUUUAAUGUGGAUUUUGGGCUAACCCCAGAAGGACCUCGAGCAAUACAGGGGUCUGGUCAUUCACGGCUCUAAGAUUUUUUAGAGUUAAGUCGUAUAUUUGUUGGCGGACUGCCUUGCUAUAGCGGGAGGAAGGUCUAAACGAUGUCAAGUCGUCAUGGCCCUAAUGGACUGGGCUACUCAUGUGCUACAACGGCUGCGACAAAGGGUAGCGCGAACUGGUGACAGUAAGCGUAGCCAUAAAAGCAGCCUCAGUUCGGAUUCGUAGCUGCAAUUUGCUACAAUGAAGGCGGAAUCGCUAGUAAUCGUGGAUCAGCACGCCACGGUGAAUAUGUUCCUGGGCUUUGUACACACCGCCCGUCAAGGUCCGGAAGCCGGAGCUGUGCUACGCUCAUCGAUAGUAAAGUAGUAGGUAAUGGAUUCCACCCCUGUAUAGGGAACGUCAACUG
rnacentral:rRNA from 1 species